GACGUAGGGGGCAAGCGUUGUUCGGAAUUACUGGGCGUAAAGGGCGCGUAGGCGGCGCGGGUAGUCAUCGGUGAAAGUUCAGGGCUCAACUCUGAAUCGGCCGGUGAUACUCCCGUGCUCGAGCACUGUAGAGGCAGGUGGAAUUCCGGGUGUAGCGGUGGAAUGCGUAGAGAUCCGGAAGAACACCGGUGGCGAAGGCGGCCUGCUGGGCAGUAGCUGACGCUGAUGCGCGACAGCGUGGGGAGCAACAGG
rnacentral:rRNA from 1 species